rnacentral:tRNA from 1 species
GCAUUGUGGUUCAGUGGUAGAAUUCUUGCCGUUCAUGCGGGAGACCCGGGUUCGAUUCCUGGCCAAUGCA